GCUUACACACACGCUACAAUGGCUGGUACAAUCGGUUGCAAACCCGCGAGGGGGAGCCAAUCCGGAAAGCCAGUCACAGUUCGGAUUGCAGGCUGCAACUCGCCUGCAUGAAGUCGGAGUUGCUAGUAACCGCAGGUCAGCCAUACCGCGGUGAAUACGUUCCCGGGCCUUGUACACACCGCCCGUCACGUCAUGGGAGCUGGUCACGCCUGAAGCCGGUGGGCUAACCGCAAGGGGGCAGCCGUCGAAGGCAGGGCUGGUGACUGGGACGAAGUCGUAACAAGGUAGCUGUAGCGGAAGCUGCGGCUGGAUCACCU
rnacentral:rRNA from 1 species